AGAGUUUGAUCCUGGCUCAGGAUGAACGCUAGCUACAGGCUUAACACAUGCAAGUCGAGGGGCAGCAUGGUCUUAGCUUGCUAAGGCCGAUGGCGACCGGCGCACGGGUGAGUAACACGUAUCCAACCUGCCGUCUACUCUUGGACAGCCUUCUGAAAGGAAGAUUAAUACAAGAUGGCAUCAUGAGUCCGCAUGUUCACAUGAUUAAAGGUAUUCCGGUAGACGAUGGGGAUGCGUUCCAUUAGAUAGUAGGCGGGGUAACGGCCCACCUAGUCAACGAUGGAUAGGGGUUCUGAGAGGAAGGUCCCCCACAUUGGAACUGAGACACGGUCCAAACUCCUACGGGAGGCAGCAGUGAGGAAUAUUGGUCAAUGGACGAGAGUCUGAACCAGCCAAGUAGCGUGAAGGAUGACUGCCCUAUGGGUUGUAAACUUCUUUUAUAAAGGAAUAAAGUCGGGUAUGGAUACCCGUUUGCAUGUACUUUAUGAAUAAGGAUCGGCUAACUCCGUGCCAGCAGCCGCGGUAAUACGGAGGAUCCGAGCGUUAUCCGGAUUUAUUGGGUUUAAAGGGAGCGUAGAUGGAUGUUUAAGUCAGUUGUGAAAGUUUGCGGCUCAACCGUAAAAUUGCAGUUGAUACUGGAUAUCUUGAGUGCAGUUGAGGCAGGCGGAAUUCGUGGUGUAGCGGUGAAAUGCUUAGAUAUCACGAAGAACUCCGAUUGCGAAGGCAGCCUGCUAAGCUGCAACUGACAUUGAGGCUCGAAAGUGUGGGUAUCAAACAGGAUUAGAUACCCUGGUAGUCCACACGGUAAACGAUGAAUACUCGCUGUUUGCGAUAUACUGCAAGCGGCCAAGCGAAAGCGUUAAGUAUUCCACCUGGGGAGUACGCCGGCAACGGUGAAACUCAAAGGAAU
rnacentral:rRNA from 1 species